UACGUAGGGUGCAAGCGUUGUCCGGAAUCAUUGGGCGUAAAGCGCGCGUAGGUGGCCAUUUAAGUCCGCUGUGAAAGUCAAAGGCUCAACCUUUGAAAGCCGGUGGAUACUGGAUGGCUAGAGUACGGAAGAGGCGAGUGGAAUUCCUGGUGUAGCGGUGGAAUGCGCAGAUAUCAGGAGGAACACCAAUAGCGAAGGCAGCUCGCUGGGACGUUACUGACACUGAUGCGCGACAGCAUGGGGAGCAAACAGG
rnacentral:rRNA from 1 species